AAUAGAAGAAUAACAAAUUAGAUUUUUCCUCCUAAUUUUCAACCUUUUCCUCUUGUAAAAAUUCAAAUCCAACUAAAAAUGCAAAAAAUUAGGAGAAAAAAUCUGAUUUGUUAGUCUGUUAUU
rfam:Gossypium raimondii Chr06_contig_1302, whole genome shotgun sequence.